rnacentral:rRNA from 1 species
UUGGAGGGCAAGUCUGGUGCCAGCAGCCGCGGUAAUUCCAGCUCCAAUAGCGUAUAUUAAAGUUGUUGCAGUUAAAAAGCUCGUAGUUGAAUUUCGGGGUCAGUAGGCUGGUCGUGCCACAGGUAUGUACUGGUCUUACUGAUUCCUCCUUCCUGAUGAACCGUAAUGCCAUUAAUUUGGUGUUGCGGGGAAUCUGGACUGUUACUUUGAAAAAAUUAGAGUGUUUAAAGCAGGCUAACGCUUGAAUACAUUAGCAUGGAAUAAUGAAAUAGGACGAUCGAUCCUAUUUUGUUGGUUUCUAGGAUUGACGUAAUGAUUAAUAGGGAUAGUUGGGGGCAUUAGUAUUCAAUUGUCAGAGGUGAAAUUCUUGGAUUUAUUGAAGACUAACUAUUGCGAAAGCAUUUGCCAAGGAUGUUUUCAUUAAUCAAGAACGAAAGUUAGGGGAUCGAAGACGAUCAGAUACCGUCGUAGUCUUAACCAUAAACUAUGCCGACUAGGGAUCGGAUGAUGUUAAUUUUUUAAUGACUCAUUCGGCGCCUUACGGGAAA